ensembl:lncRNA
UAGCUUGGGGAAAGGAGGGGCCUUAGCUGGGAGAAAGGAGGGAGGCAGGGAUUUCGCUCCCUGAAGGAUAAUAUUUCACGCUACCACACAUUUUUAGUUUCCGGGGGGAGUUGAUUUAAUUUUCAGGUAUCCAAAUUUCUCCUAAACUCGUCGCAUGUUCUUAAUUUUCUCCCCCAAACGAUGGUCUACAAUGCCUUAGUUAAAAUUCAGUUCGGACCCUGUUACUUUUCUAUAGAUCCGUUUUAUAUCAUCACAGGCGCUCUCAAAGUGCGCGGUCGCAUCAUAGCUGGUUGUUAUAAAGAUCUGGCUUCUGGUCCCUGAAUCCAUGGGCACAAGGAGGUCACUAACAAAACAGAAUUUUUGCUCAAUGGGCUCCAGGAGCUCCAGAGCUAUCUGGAUUUCUUUGUUGGGAUCUUUACUCUCCACAGUUGUGCUCACAAUGGCGAUGUAUUUGCCCUGUGCCGCCACGUUCUGUACAAAUGAAGUGAGGAAGAUAUAGAUAUCUGAUCUGCGGUUCGUCUGGGCCGAAGGGAUGAUGAUGAGUCCCGAAGUGGCGCCGUUGGUGUUUCUAACGGGGUGCCCGAGAAUGCAGAUGGCCCUGAUGACCUGGCCAACCCUCCGCACGCGGUCUGGUGCAUAACUUGGAUCACAUAUCAACUGUCUGCACCUCGUGGUCUGACCCUCUGACCUGAUGCCUAUCACUCGGCCGUCCCUGAAGAGUAUCUCGUCCACUGGUUUGUUCAUUAAGAAAACACCCCCUUGGCUGGAGGUCAGCCGAGUAAAGGCCUGUGCCAGCUCUCCGAUUCCGAAACGAGGGUACAGGUAAGGGCUCUUUCCAUUUUUGGCCAGGGAAAACGUAUAGAGUUGAAUCUUUUCCAAUGUCUCGAGGCAGGGGUGGUCCAGAUAACUGUUGGUACGAUUUAGGGCCAGCGCGUGUCCAGCAAAGUCGGUGACAUCUUGGCCCAAAUCAAAUCUCCGGAAGAGAUCUUUCCCAAUUGUCUUCCGGGGAUCCACCCCUUCGUAUGUUCGGGGGUCCUGUUCGUUGAAGUUAAGGGCGUACACGAAGAAUUUGCGGAAUCGGCGUUUCUCGAAGAAUCCCAUCAGCCCAGAGGCCAGGGCCUCGGUCUCAGUAGAGGGCACUUUGUGAAUCCGGCUGCCCUUGUACAAGAAGCCGCCGUCCACCACAUGGAAGUCCAAGAAGCGCAGCGCAUCCAAGUGGGUCAGGAUUUUCAUCAGCUGUCCGUUGGCCAUAAGGAACUUGGGUAGAAGGUCUACCUUCCAGGCACGUCCACGGCCCAUGGUGGCAGGGGGUGAGCCGGGCGCGUUGAAGUGGCGAUAGACGAUGUUCAGUGGGCUCAACGAGGCACUGUCCCCACCAUGGAUGGAAUUGCGGUCAAUGUGAAGUACCUUUUUUCCCAGCGAAAUCAGCAAGCUCCCAAGGGCACACUCCUUCAUCCCGGUGCCAAGGAUGAUAACGUCAUAAUCUUUGUUCAUGGUGUGGCAAAGAAGAGACUGGGGAAAAGGAGUGGAAGCAAGUGAAGAACCACUAGAAGGAGCAGCUUGGGAAGGAAGUCGGAGAGUAGGACCAGAAGUACCACUGUGGGGAAGAGAAAACAACGGCAGAGAAGGAGGAGAAAGGUGGUAAGAACCACCACGAGGAGAGUGAGGAAGUUGACAAGUCCGGUGGUGACAACUGACGUGAGGAGAGGUGACAACGUUGGAGGACGACGAUGACGACGAGGAAAACAACGACGAUGAAGACGAUGUGGUGGUGGAAUGGUCGGCGGUACCCAGGAAGGAAGAAGAAGGGGAGUGGGCAGGCAGGGACAGGAGCAGCAGGAGCAGGAACAGGAAGAGGAAGAUGAGAAGGGAAGAAAGCAGGCCAGGGGCGAUGGAGGUGAAGAUGGAACAGAAUACUAGGGCGGCAAUGGAGGCAAGGAUCGAAAAGCAGAUGGAGGAAGAGAUGAUGAAGGUUGGGGAGGCGGUAGAAGAGAAGAUGACGGAGGCGGUGUUAGAAGCGGGAGUGGAGUGGCCAAAGUUGGAACAGGAACCGGAGGUGGAACCGGAGCUGGAACCGGAGCUGUAACUGGAGCUGUAACUGGAGCUGCAGGUGCAGGUGGAGGUGGAGGUGGAAGCGAAGACGCCGGAGUAGGAGCUGGAACUUGAGCCGGAGAUGGAAGCCAAAAAACCAGAGAAUGAGAUGGAAACAAACUGGCUGGAACCAGAAGCAGAGCCAGAGUCAGAGACGUUAGCAAAGAGGGAGCCAGAGCUAGAACUGGCGCCAGAGGUGGAGGUGGAAGAAAACAGGCCAGAGCCAGAUGUAGGUGAAGGCUGACGUGGUCUAGGUGAGUGAAGCUUCACUGCGGCGGUCUCAGGGCCGGCUACUGAGAGAGAGCUAGCUGGCAUAGGUGGUGCUCAUGCCAGAAG